UGAGAAAGAAGUUGUGGUGGAGUUCAGCUGUCUAGCACGGUAAAAUCACAGCAUUUGUUUUGUUGCUUUUGCAUCUGCAGUUGCCAAAGAGGGACUGUACAUCCAGAUUACCAGUCAUGCUUAAAGUGUUCCACCUGUAAUGAUCCCGUCUCCCACCAACCCUACAGUGUAAACGAGAUGUGACAUCACUGCAACGUGGCCAUGUUUAACUUGAAAUAUCAUAGAAAAGACAACACACUUCAGCCUUCUGUUAUACCUUAUUCUUGCAGCUGAAAAUCAGAAUUGUUGGACUCUUAUGACACCAUUGCCAAUGAGCACAUUUAACAGCAUCUACAAAUGUCUGUGAUAUUAGAAUUAUGGACACCUAUUUUUAUGAUUCCACAGUGAUCUGCCAUUGUUACACAAGUUUUCUUUUGUUUGUUUUUUGUUUGUUUGUUUUUAAUUUUAUUCCAAUUUCCUUCAUUGUUUAGUGAGAAACAUAAUCAGAUUUUUAUAAUCAAUAACACAAAUGUUAUUUUAACAACAUUGGGACGGGGGUCAUAGACUUGAUAUUGUGACUAUGUAUUCUCUAGGAUUCCUAACUGAAUGUGUUUGGAAAAGUGAUUUCUUGAGUUUUUGCUUUAAGGUACACAAUUCCCUUUCUGCAGAAUGCUGCUGUAUUUCUUCUGCUUGCAAAUAAUAGCAUAUAAAACCUGAGGCCAAGCAAUGAAGUAGCAGUCUAAAAGGUUAAGGACCCUUUGAUCAGGGUAUUAAAGACUCUGUUCACAGAUGAAAUGUUGUGCUUCCAAAGUUUUAUGUUAAAAGUUAAUAUGCUUAAGAUAAUCAAUCUCAGCUGCACUAGACCUUCAGUAAUUUUGUUUCUAUCAUCAAACAAGCCUUAUGGGGUUGAAUAUAGUGGUAGUUCAUAAUGAAGCACUUCAUAUAGAAGCAGCUGUCUCCUCACCUGUUUCCCAGCCCAUCUAGAGGCCUGGAGAAAUUCUUCAAUUUAGCAAGCAAACUUAAGUCAUUAUUAGAAAUGACAGGGAAACCUGAUGAAAUUGUACUUUCAAUUGGAAAACAAAAUUGCAAUCAGACCAACAUGAUUUCCUCAUGGUCUGACCAUGCUAAUGCCAAGUUGAGACAUGGGCAAAUGUAUUUAAAAGUCAUAAUGGAGUAUUACCAUGCAAUCUCUUUUUACUGGCCCUUAUUAAUAUAAAACUUCAAUUUGCAUGUAAAUGCAGUCAACUUUCAUAUCAUCAAAAUACAUGAAGCCUGGGAAAGUAAUGAAUUGAAGUUUGAUGCAGCAAUUACUGACGUUUAUAAAGAAUUUUAAAGAGGUCAUUCUAGUCUUGGCUGAGAAAAUGAGGAAAUCAACAGGGAAUAUUGUCAAUAUAGCAACAGUGGGAGUUGGAGUCAGUCCCAGGUGUUAGAAGGCCAGAUGAUGAUUAAUAGAGAGGGAGUAUGAAGCCUUUCACCCAGAAGGACUGGGCUGGACCUGGGGCUCAAUAACAGAGCUCUCAUGAAAAGGUUCUUGCUGGGUUCCCACUUUAGCUGCCUCGAAAUGUGUUCCAGAGGGAAUAAAGUAGCAAGUGUUUAUGAGAAGAGCAGUGCUGAAGGUUUAAUUGGGCUCCACAUCCUUUCAGCUCCCACCAGUAGUUGAUAUGCAGUUUAACCUUUUUUUCCCCACCUCAAAUACCCCAGUGCCACUGGGAUUUUAAUAAGGCAGUAUCUUGAUAGCUUGGAAAAAUACUGGCUUCUUUGCUAAAUUGAGUUAAACUACCUUAUUGUGUAAUAAAGACAAUUUGUACAUCUCUUGAUUUGAAAAUUUUGCAAACAAACAAACAAUAAAA